rnacentral:lncRNA from 1 species
AAACAGUUAAACACUGCCCCUAUGUGGAGGGAAACGGUUAAACACUGUCCCUAUGGGGAGGGACACAGUAAAACACUGGCCCUAUGGGGAGGGAAACAGUAAAACACUGCCCCUAUGGGGAGGGAAACAGUAAAACACUGUCCCUAUGGGGAGGGAAACAGUUAAACACUGCCCCUAUGGGGAGGGAAACAGUAAAACACUGCCCCUAUGGGGAGGGAAACAGUUAAACACUGUCCCUAUGGGGAGGGAAACAGUAAAACACUGCCCCUAUGGGGAGGGAAACAGUUAAACACUGCCCACAUGGGGAGGGAAACAGUUAAACACUGUCCCUAUGUGGAGGGAAACAGUUAAACACUGCCACUAUGGGGAGGGAAACAGUUAAACACUGCCCACAUGGGGAGGGAAACAGUUAAACACUGUCCCUAUGUGGAGGGAAACAGUUAAACACUGUCCCUAUGUGGAGGGAAACAGUUAAACACUGCCCC